GAUGAACGCUGGCGGCGUGCCUAAUACAUGCAAGUCGAACGAAACUUCUUUAUCACCGAGUGCUUGCACUCACCGAUAAAGAGUUGAGUGGCGAACGGGUGAGUAACACGUGGGCAACCUGCCCAAAAGAGGGGGAUAACACUUGGAAACAGGUGCUAAUACCGCAUAACCAUAGUUACCGCAUGGUAACUAUGUAAAAGGUGGCUAUACUACCGCUUUUGGAUGGGCCCGCGGCGCAUUAGCUAGUUGGUAGGGUAAAGGCUUACCAAGGCAAUGAUGCGUAGCCGAAUUGAGAGGUUGAUCGGCCACAUUGGGACUGAGACACGGCCCAAACUCCUACGGGAGGUAGCAGUAGGGAAUCUUCCACAAUGGGCGAAAGCCUGAUGGAGCAACGCCGCGUGGGUGAAGAAGGUCUUCGGAUCGUAAAACCCUGUUGUUAGAGAAGAAAGUGCGUGAGAGUAACUGUUCACGUUUCGACGGUAUCUAACCAGAAAGCCACGGCUAACUACGUG
rnacentral:rRNA from 1 species